GAAAUAAACAGCUUUACUGCUCUCACACAAAGCCUGUUUGGUGGUCUCUUCACACGGACGCGCAUGAAAUUUGGUGCCAUGACUCGGAUCGGGGGACCUCCCUUGGGAGAUCAAUCCCCUGUCUUCCUGUUCUUUGCUCCGUGAGAAAGAUCCACCUACAACCUCAGGUCCUCAGACCGACCAGCCCAAGGAACAUCUCACCAAUUUUAAAUCAGGCAGCACCGAACCCCAGAGAGAGGCAAUGACCUUCCCAGGGGAUUUCUACAAAUUAAUAGAAAAACUGGAACUCCACUGCCCACUGCAGCACCACCAUGUCUUUCGGACAGUACCUCUUGCCACAUGGUGUCCUUCUGAACAGACCUUCACAUGGAUGAUAUUUGCUCCGGGAGAAUGCAGCAUGAACACACAGAUUUGGUCACAGUAACGAAUGCUCCUUUGAAGACCAGCUGAGGAGGCCGGGUGCGGUGGCUCACGCCUAUAAUCCCAACACUUUGGGUGGCUGAGAAGGGCAAAUCACGAGGUCAGGAGUUCGAGACCAGCCUGGCCAACAUAGUGAAACCCUGUCUCUACUAAAAAUACAAAAAUUAGCUGGGUGUGGUGGCAGGAACCUGUAAUACCAGCUACUCAGGAGGCUGAGGCAGGAGAAUCGCUUGAACCCGGGAGGCAGAGGUUGCAGUGAGCCGAGAUCGUGCCACUGGACUCUAGCCUGGGUGACAGAGCAAGACUCCAACUUGAAAAAAAAAAAAGCUGAGGAAAGAAAGAUAUUAUUUUAGCACGUUAUUAUUACUGAUGUCACUUCCUCCUUCUUUGUUUCUUUUGCCUUUUUCUCAUAUGAAACAUCAUGUCAUUCCUAAAGAGGAGAAACUCACAGGUCAAAAAUGUAAGGCUUUCUCUGUGUCUGAGAGGAAAAUGUUGUCAUUUAAAAUAAAAUACCUCCUACCAAGCA
rnacentral:lncRNA from 1 species